rnacentral:rRNA from 1 species
UACGUAGGGUGCAAGCGUUGUCCGGAAUUAUUGGGCGUAAAGAGCUCGUAGGCGGUCUGUCGCGUCGGCUGUGAAAUCCCGAGGCUCAACCUCGGGUCUGCAGUCGAUACGGGCAAACUAGAGUAUUGCAGGGGAGACUGGAAUUCCUGGUGUAGCGGUGAAAUGCGCAGAUAUCAGGAGGAACACCGGUGGCGAAGGCAGGUCUCUGGGCUGACACUGACGCUCAUGCACGAAAGCGUGGGGAGCGAACAGG